rnacentral:tRNA from 1 species
GCCUGAAUGGCUCAGCCGGUUAAGCAUCCGACUUCAGCUCAGGUCAUGAUCUCACUCUCGUGGGUUCGAGCCCCGUGUCGGGCU